rfam:Danio rerio chromosome 5, GRCz11 reference primary assembly.
AUCUACCGUCAUAUCAUCCUGCAGGCCAAGACCGGUUAGGGCUGAGCCUGGUCAGUACCUGGAUGGGAGACCACAUGGGAACACUAGGUUGCUGUUGGAA